rnacentral:rRNA from 1 species
GACGAACGCUGGCGGCGUGCUUAACACAUGCAAGUCGAACGGAAAGGCCCUGCUUUUGUGGGGUGCUCGAGUGGCGAACGGGUGAGUAACACGUGAGUAACCUGCCCUUGACUUUGGGAUAACUUCAGGAAACUGGGGCUAAUACCGGAUAGGAGCUCCUGCUGCAUGGUGGGGGUUGGAAAGUUUCGGCGGUUGGGGAUGGACUCGCGGCUUAUCAGCUUGUUGGUGGGGUAGUGGCUUACCAAGGCUUUGACGGGUAGCCGGCCUGAGAGGGUGACCGGCCGUCAUGGGGCCUACGGGAGGCCGCAGUGGCGAACGGGGGGCAGUGGGGGGGAGUAUGGAACAGGGGGAGCGCGUGGGUGAAGAAGGCGCUGGGGGUGGAAAGCCGGCUUGCGGGUAGAAAACCGCUGCCGCUUGAGACGAGGCGGGUGUGACGGUAAUGAAAAAAGAAGCACCGGCUAACUACGUG